rnacentral:rRNA from 1 species
AGAGUUUGAUCCUGGCUCAGAUUGAGCGCUAGCGGGAUGCUUUACACAUGCAAGUCGAACGGCAGCACGAGGAAGUUUACUUCUUUGGUGGCGAGUGGCGGACGGGUGAGUAAUGUAUCGGAACGUGCCCAGUAGUGGGGGAUAACUACGCGAAAGCGUAGCUAAUACCGCAUAUUCUCUUCGGAGGAAAGGGGGGGAUCAUUUGACCUCUCGCUAUUGGAGCGGCCGAUAUCAGAUUAGUUAGUUGGUGGGGUAACGGCCUACCAAGGCAGUGAUCUGUAGCUGGUUUGAGAGGACGACCAGCCACACUGGGACUGAGACACGGCCCACACUCCUACGGGAGGCAGCAGUGGGGAAUUUUCGACAAUGGGGGAAACCCUGAUCGAGCCAUCCCGCGUGUGGGACGAAGGCCUUCGGGUUGUAAACCACUUUUCUUAGCGAAGAAAAGUCUUAGGCUAAUACCUUAAGACGCUGACGGUAGCUAAGGAAUAAGCAUCGGCUAACUACGUGCCAGCAGCCGCGGUAAUACGUAGGAUGCAAGCGUUAAUCGGAAUUACUGGGCGUAAAGGGUGCGCAGGCGGCUUGGAAAGAACGGUGUGAAAUCCCGGGGCUCCACCGCGGAACUGCACUAUUAACUAUCAAGCUAAAGUAUGUCAGAGGGGGGUGGAAUUCCGCGUGGAGCAGUGAAAUGCGUAAAUAUGCGGAGGAACACAAUGGGGAAGGCACCCCCCUGGGAAAAAACUGGACGCUCAGGCACCAAAGCGGGGGAAACAAAAAGGAUUAAAACCCCCGG